AUUGAACGCUGGCGGCAGGCCUAACACAUGCAAGUCGAGCGGCAGCGGGAAAGUAGCUUGCUACUUUUGCCGGCGAGCGGCGGACGGGUGAGUAAUGCCCGGGAAAUUGCCCUGAUGUGGGGGAUAACUACUGGAAACGGUGGCUAAUACCGCAUGAUGCCUACGGGCCAAAGAGGGGGACCUUCGGGCCUCUCGCGUCAGGAUAUGCCCAGGCGGGCUUAGCUGGUUGGUGAGGUAAUGGCUCACCAAGGCGACGAUCCCUAGCUGGUCUGGGAGGAUGAUCGGCCACACUGGGACUGAGACACGGUCCAGACUCCUACGGGAGGCAGCAGUGGGGAAUAUUGCACAAUGGGGGAAACCCUGAUGCAGCCAUGCCGCGUGUGUGAAGAAGGCCUUCGGGUUGUAAAGCACUUUCAGCGAGGAGGAAAGGUCAGUAGCUAAUAUCUGCUGGCUGUGACGUUACUCGCAGAAGAAGCACCGGCUAACUCCGUGCCAGCCGCCGCGGUAA
rnacentral:rRNA from 1 species